rnacentral:rRNA from 1 species
ACUGGGGGAGGAUCAUUG